rnacentral:lncRNA from 1 species
GGGGAUUCAUCCAUUCCGAUUCCACCCAUAGUCGUUACUAAUGAUGCUGAAUUGAAUUAUCUAUUAGAAUUGAAUAAAAUGCAUCGGACUCCGACUGCUCUUGGUGUGACUUUAGUUAAGAAGGAUGUUAUCGAAAGUGAACGCGAAGAUUCAAAUAGGGCGGAUAAUAAUGACCGAGGUUUUUGGGAGACAGUGGAGAUAAUUCCUGCGGAUGAUGUGGUUAUUCCUGAGACAAUUGCUCUUGAUCGUGAUGUCUCUGUUACGCAUAGAAUUCCGUCGACAGUUGAAGACAAUGAGAAUAUAAAUGAGUUUACAAAUGAGAAUUUGAUUGCUUUAUCCCGACAGAGACAUGAGGUGGGUGGGAGCUCACAGGUUGGAACAAGUGGACCGUCAUCCAAUUCUUCCCGUGUGGCUCCCGAUGAUAAGGACUUGCAGGUCGAGCAACUGUUUGAAACCAAGAAAGAUUUGCAGGAAGCUAUGAACCAGCUGACAUUAAAAUAUAACUUUGAGUUCAAGGUAAAGAAAUCAAACAAGUCAUUGUUGACAGUUGCCUGCGUCGAAAACAGUUGCAAUUGGCGCUUGAGAGCAACUAAAAUGGACACGAAUGAGUGCUUCGUAAUUCGCAAGUAUUCACGGGAACAUACUUGCGAAGUGGGAAUUCUUAGAAAUGAUCACAGGCAAGCUCUAGCAUAAUUUAUUGGUCGACAGAUAAUGCACAAAUAUCAGGACUCACGGACGAUCUACAGACCUUCAGAUAUCAUUAACAACGUCCGUCGAGAGUAUGGAGUGGUCAUGAGCUACCAGAAAACCAGGAAGGCCAAAGAAUGUGCGUUGGAGGAUUUAAUGGGAUCGGCUGAAGAGAGCUAUGCUAAAUUGGCUAGAUAUUGCCAUAACAUGGGAACAACUAAUCCUGGCACGACAUUUUUUAUUGAAACGGGGGGCGAUAAUUGUUUUAAGUAUUUCUUCAUGACUCUCAAACAAUGUAUUCGGGGUUUUCGAAAUGCAAUACGACCUGUAAUUCUAGUUGAUGGUACAACUCUGAAAGCUAAAUAUUAAGGCAAAUUAAUUAUUGCUACAUGUCAAGACGCCAACAUCCAAGUUUACCCUAUUGCAGUAGGCAUAGUCGACAACGAGAAUGAUCUGUCCAUGCGUUGGUUCUUUUCUAAACUGAGAGAAGAGAUCGGGGAAGUCGAAGACCUUGCAUUUGUAACCGAUCGGGGACAGUCUAUAAUAAACGGUAUAGCUGAAAUUUUUCUCGAGGCACAUCACGGGUAUUGUAUGUACCAUAUACAAGGUAAUUUGAAGACUAGGUAUCGGGGCACAGGCAUCGUUUCAUUGUUCAGGAGAGCAGCCGAAACUUAUAGUGCUAAAGAGUGUAAUACGUUCAUGAUCGAGAUAGGAAGUAAAUCAUUACCGGCGUUGGAGUAUCUGAUGAACAUGGGGAUCGAACAUUGGGCACGGUCAUACUUUUCAGGACGUCGAUACAACAUGAUGACGUCGACUAACGCGAAGUCUCUCAAUGCAUUGUUUAAGAAGGAUCGAGAGUUACCAAUUCUCGCAAUGAUUGAGAACAUUCGUAACAAGCUACAACAGUGGUUUCAUGACCGACGUGCGGCAUCACAAAGUUGCACUAGCGUGUUGGCCCCAGCUCAAGAGGAGAAACUGUUUAAAGCGACAGAGGUUGCGAGGAAGUUGAAUGUGGAAGCACUAGAUGAGUUUUGCUUCUCCGUGCAAUGUGCACGUAAUACGGCAUAUAUGGUGGACUUGACUGAUA